rnacentral:rRNA from 1 species
GACGAACGCUGGCGGCGUGCCUAAUACAUGCAAGUAGAACGCACAGGAUGCACCGUAGUUUACUACACCGUAUUCUGUGAGUUGCGAACGGGUGAGUAACGCGUAGGUAACCUGCCUGGUAGCGGGGGAUAACUAUUGGAAACGAUAGCUAAUACCGCAUAAGAACAUUUACUGCAUGGUAGAUGUUUAAAAGGUGCAAAAGCAUCACUACCAGAUGGACCUGCGUUGUAUUAGCUAGUUGGUGAGGUAACGGCUCACCAAGGCAACGAUACAUAGCCGACCUGAGAGGGUGAUCGGCCACACUGGGACUGAGACACGGCCCAGACUCCUACGGGAGGCAGCAGUAGGGAAUCUUCGGCAAUGGGGGGAACCCUGACCGAGCAACGCCGCGUGAGUGAAGAAGGUUUUCGGAUCGUAAAGCUCUGUUGUUAAGGAAGAACGUGUGUGAGAGUGGAAAGUUC